GAUUGGGUAGCAUAAUGGUAAUGUGUUAGAUUGCAAAUCUAUGUAUAGUGGUUCAAUUCCACUGCCAAUCU
rnacentral:tRNA from 1 species